rnacentral:rRNA from 1 species
AACGGUAACAGGAAACAGCUUGCUGUUUCGCUGACGAGUGGCGGACGGGUGAGUAAUGUCUGGGAAACUGCCUGAUGGAGGGGGAUAACUACUGGAAACGGUAGCUAAUACCGCAUAACGUCGCAAGACCAAAGAGGGGGACCCUCGGGCCUCUUGCCAUCGGAUGUGCCCAGAUGGGAUUAGCUUGUUGGUGGGGUAACGGCUCACCAAGGCGACGAUCCCUAGCUGGUCUGAGAGGAUGACCAGCCACACUGGAACUGAGACACGGUCCAGACUCCUACGGGAGGCAGCAGUGGGGAAUAUUGCACAAUGGGCGCAAGCCUGAUGCAGCCAUGCCGCGUGUAUGAAGAAGGUCUUCGGGUGUAAAGAACUUUCAGCGUGGAGGAAGGGAGUAAAGUUAAUACCUUUGCUCUUUGACGUUACCCGCAGAAGAGUCACCGGCUAACUCCGUGCCCAGCAGCCGCGGGUAUACCGAGGGUGCAAGUCGUUAAUCGGAAUUUACUUGUGGCUUUAAUGUCGCACGCAGGCGGGUUUGUUAAACCCAGAUGUGGAUAAUCCCCCGGGGCUCAACCUGGGGAAACUGCAUCCUGAUACUGGGCAAGCUUGAGUCUUUAGAGGGGGGAGAAUUCCAGGUGUAGCGGUGAAAUGCGUAGAGAUCUGGAGGAAUACCGGUGGCGAAGGCGGCCCCCUGGACGAAGACUGACGCUCAGGUGCGAAAGCGUGGGGAGCAAACAGGAUUAGAUACCCUGGUAGUCCACGCCGUAAACGAUGUCGACUUGGAGGUUGUGCCCUUGAGGCGUGGCUUCCGGAGCUAAC